CCAGGAUCCACCCCUUCCCAGACCUCAUUUAAGGGUUGGCAGUGGAGGUAAGGGUGUCUGUUGCUGGGGCUCCCUGCCUAACUGAGGCCUUCCAGAGGUUGAUGCAGACCAUUGCUCACACUCAGAGUAAAUCAGCAUCUUAAUAACACCCUCCAAUUGCAAUGGCUCUGAAUGGCUCUGAGCAUCUCCUGCACUUGAUUUGUUACUGAUUUGUUCCCUCCAUCUGAAGCCGUAGGACUUAUCAGGGACUCGCUAUUUAAUGUUUUAUAGAUACUGCAUUAAGACACAACUCACCUGGACAGCACUUUAGUGUGGUUGUUAAUUACACUCAGGGCUUCCUUGAAGCUCCCAUUCUGGAUGAGACAUACCACUUUACACUGAAGUGCAGUCACAUCGUCUUUGUUGAUCUGCAGAACUGGAGAGGAAAACAGUUUUAACAGAAGGAUCUAACUCUAGCAGACACACUAAAGACUUUAAAAUGCCAUGCACUGUUAAGCUGGAGAGAAACAUCUAAUGGUUGUAUCAGCUGAAGAGGGUUCUGGCAUGGCUUGCUUAUGCUGCACCUGAACAAACCUUUCAUUGGCAUUUCACUUCCAGAUAAAGAACGGUGCCAAAAUCUCAGUGCCACGUAAGGCACAGUCAGGAAGAAAGGGUCUGGAAGCCUUAUGGGGAGAAGAUGAGGGAGCUGGGGUUCUUCAGCCCGGAGAAGGCUCAAGGGGGCUCAGGGGACACCUUAUGCUCUAUACAACUAACUGCCUGACAGGAGGCUGUGCUGAGGUGUGGGUCGGCCUCUGCUCCCCGAGCCCCCCGCCCCAACGAGCACACGACGCGGGCCGGCCUCACUCACUCUUAUUGACGGACUUGAGCGCUCGGGCGAAGUCCCCGUUCUGUCCGCAGCGGUUCACCUCGCUCCAUAGAGCCGCUGCCGCCCCGGGGCCGCCCGCAGCCGCCGCCGCCAUCUCAAAGCCGGGAGGAGAGCGGAGGGAGCAGCCCCGGAAGCGGAAAGGCCGCACCGCCACGUCCCGGUUCGUAGGCAAGGGCUGCCCGCGCUCCUCCCUCCCUCCGCCUCUCACAGCGUUCGUUUUCCCCUAGUGGCAGCUGUCAGCGGGUAGCAAUGGGGCUCGAGAAGACAACAUUGCAGCCUUCAAGGAAAGGCAGCACCAUUAGCUGAAGGGAAAUGGAACAAAAAUCACUUGAGGAUCGAGUCACCUGCUGCUGUUCCUUCAGCAGGAGGGACUACCAUGUUAAAGAAAGAAAGUACACCGUUAGUACUUGAAACAAAGCACUCUUUAUUGUGAGAGGAUUUUCUGGGGGGAUUAAAUGUAUAGAAUUCAGGCUGCUAUUUAAAAUUGUUGAUGUUCAAAGCUGUAUAGGAUGGCAAUGCUGUCUCAGUGCCUACUAUAAUGGAAGAUCACACCUCUCAACUGCUGGCUCAUAAAACAGAGCUGGGCUGUGUGUGAAGUCAGUGUGCAAGUGAAAGAAGGUCAUGCUGCGAUGUGCUAAGAAAAAGGAGAAAGAAAAAUGCACAGCCAACAAAGACACAGAUGGUUCUACAGCCUGGAAAUGCAGAGCUGCAUUGCAUUUGAGAAGCAGGGAUCAAUCACACAGUUCCUACCCAAAAAACAGGAGAUGGUAAACUCAAGAGUUGUACCAAUCUGAAGCCUUUCAUUGGAAGGGCAGGCUGCCAACUUAGCUACUAGUUUAGAACAUCCUUUUGAAGAAUAUAUUGCUUGGGGAUCAGAGAUGCAGAAGCGUCAUCAAAAAAAGGUCAGGAAAUGAAUGGUUUCACAGUAUUUCGUCAUCUUUGAAUGCCACAAUCAUAUCCAGUUUGGUGAAGCACUUGCUUAUGGCUUAAAUACUUCCUAAUGCUGACUGGCUUCUGCACUUGACACCUAUUUAUUCCUCCACUGGUACAGAUAAAAUCGAGCUCUGAUUUUAUACAGAGGAUGAUAUUAACACAGUAGCAGUGCCGCCUUUACAUACUGGUAAGAGUUUCACAAUCCUAUCAAAUAAGUUGUCAUGAUUACCAUUUGUAUUCAUAUAUUAAAGCUUUGUAUUUUAUUUACAUCUGUGCACAAACAUUACAGCAAAGCUUGCUAUCCUGUGCCUUUUUGUUCUGCUCCACUGCUAUGUAUCACCAAAGCAAUCAGCAGCUUUUGUGCACCGUAGAUUUCUAAGCACUUCCAGAUAUAAUUUAGCAGUAGGUUUGGUCAAAUUUAUCAAGCCAAACUUGGCUAACUAGCACUCAUUCACUACCUCAAGAUGGAAUGUCUAAUGGCAAACUUCCUUAAUGAAAGAAAUCCAGACAGUUGAGAGGUAUGCUAAAAAUGUCUUAAAUACUUGAUGACACACGUGUAAUCGUACAGAACACAAGUCUACAAUUACAGACAUAACAUUAAAUCUUUAACUCAAAGCGCAUUAGAACUUAUGAACAGACAGUAAAGUCAGCUCAGCCAGUGACUUCCAGAAGUCAUGCAUGCACUGCAUUGUGUGAAGGAAAAGAAAGUGUGUGGAGGGGGGGGGAAGAAAAAAGAAAAUCAUUCUUUAACAACUUUAACAUAAAGUUUUAAUUUACAUUUGAAAAGUUUUUAUUCCAUUCAUGGUAUGUAUAAAAUAAAUUAAAAAGGAGAAAAGUUUUGUAUACGCUUCAAAUUAACACAUACCAGUAGUUCCAUAAAUGAACAUUUUACCGUCUUCAUGGUAAAGAGUUGACAUAAAUGCUCAAAACAAUACAACAGUUAUAAAUAGAAUUCAGAAGAUAUUUGCUUUUAAAAAAAUGGAAUUUAUAUAUCAGUUUUCCCCUCCCCCUACAACGCAAUUUGGUUUUGCAUGUCAUAAUAUUACCACAUUUAGAGUAUUUGAAUGUCACAUCCACACAAAAACCGAUAUCGAAGCAGGUAAAGUGCCAGCGGUGCUUAAAUUUAGGGCCUUUCCCAAAUAACUCCACCUGCUUCUCAGCCUCUUCCUUAAAUGAAGGCUAUCAACAUUCAUCACCCAGUUUGAGGUACGGGCAGAAGAAAGAGUUUGUAACUGGUUCAUUACCCACUCUUGCCUCUUCUAAAAUUAUAACAAGCUGUGUAUCUGUAAGUGACAAUGGUGGUGUACAAUUGCUUACCUCAGUUCAGUUUAUGUAUAAUUUAAUCACCACAUUAAAAAAAA